rnacentral:sRNA from 1 species
GCUUAGCCCCGAUUGCAACGGCAUCCUUUUUCUUUUUCCUUUAAAAAGAAAAAGAUAGAGUGGAAAGCGGGAAAUAGC